AUGGGAAAAGACAAAAUUCAUCACUCAAUGCAUCUGUAUCUCAAGCAGAAGCUUUCAGAAUUACACUUCACUGUGAUCCUUAUUGAUGUUUACUUUGAUUCCAGGACAAAACUCAAUCCACUGUGAGGGAAACUGCACUUAUUUUUUAUUUUUUUUCUAUUCACACAGAUGCCUGCUACCCAGGAUGCAAACACUGUAAUUUGGGUAUGGUGUGUGUGUGUGUGUGUGCGUGUGUGUGUGUGCGUGAUGUUCACUGAUGAUCUUUUUACACUGACAGAUUGUAGAUGUUCUCGGUGAUGAAAGCUGAUCCAAAUCCAAUGACAAUGAGACAAAAAUGAAGGAGGAGUGUUGAAAAGUAAACCCUGAUCUAAAUACGAUUGAAAACAGAAUGAGGAGAACAAUCAGUGACAGAGUGGCAUUUAUUCAACGCCAGUCCACACAGGAAAUCCUUACCGAAUACCCAGCUUUACACCACAUUUGAACUCACCUGCAUAACAUUGACCUAAGUACCAAUAUGCACUAAAUCAGGCCUGUGAGGAAACAACCUACAUAUACAAAGGACUCUUUGCAGCAGAGCGGCCAUAUCUGUUUGGGGACAAUCCUGACAGGCUCAUACUUGUGGAUAAGAUAUCAAAGACACCCGCACCUACCCUAUGCAUGAGGCAACCCCUUUGAGGAAGACACCACCAUUACACUUUGCAUGGACGGACAAGACGUCAUAACACCAGAAGAUGUGUUGAUGGGCAUUGGAGCAUUGCUAGCAGUUCAUCAAUCAUUUAUUGACUAUUUCAUUUAGAUCAGGAAGUUAAAAUUGUGAUGUUGUUAAUAGCAUUGUUUAAUAGAUGUUUUCAUUCAUGCCUUCAUCUAUGUAGCCUGUGUAUUAUUUGUUUAUUUAUAUAUUUAUUUAUGUAUGUAUCUAUCUGUCCAUCCUUUCAUGUACAGUAUUCCUAAUAUUUUGCCAUUG